rnacentral:rRNA from 1 species
GUGAGGAAUAUUGGACAAUGGGCGCAAGCCUGAUCCAGCCAUGCCGCGUGCAGGAAGACGCAUCUAUGGUGUGUAAACUGCUUUUGUACGGGAAGAAACACUCCCUCGUGAGGGAGCUUGACGGUACCGUAAGAGUAAGGAUCGACUAACUCCGUGCCAGCAGCCGCGGUAAUACGGAGGAUCCAAGCGUUAUCCGGAAUCAUUGGGUUUAAAGGGUCCGUAGGCGGUUUAAUAAGUCAGUGGUGAAAGCCAAGAGCUCAACGAUGGAACGGCCAUUGAUACUGUUAGACUUGAAUUACAAGGAAGUAACUAGAAUAUGUAGUGUAGCGGUGAAAUGCUUAGAUAUUACAUGGAAUACCAAUUGCGAAGGCAGGUUACUACUUGUGGAUUGACGCUGAUGGACGAAAGCGUGGGGAGCGAACAGGAUUAGAAACCCUUGUAGUCC